GUGCUUGCUUCGGCAGCACAUAUACUAAAAUUGGAACGACAUAGAGAAGAUUAGCAUGGUCCCUGUGCAAGGAUGACAUGCAAAUUCGUGAAGCGUUCCAUAUUUUU